rnacentral:lncRNA from 1 species
GGCGUUUCUUUCCUGCAGUAAACCUGGGCAGAGAGUAGAAAACACUGCAUUGAAGGCGGCAAAAGAAGCGAAAACUCAGUGAGUUAAAGCUUGAACCAUAAUGCUCUUUUUAUUAUAAUCGUUAUUAUGCACGAACGCCGGAAAUAUUUUUCACGGUAAUGCUUUGCUUCUCUCAAAUUUGAUGUAUUAUGCUAUGUACAGAAUUUUUACUUGUUUUCCAGGUUGAGGAAGAUGUAGAAGACUCUAACUGUGGCCAUUUUUCAAAUUAAGGGUUUUUUCUGUUUGUUGUUUUCAGAUAUAUUAGAUAUUUCUGAGGGAUGUCUGUGGAAGCUGGUUCAAGGAAUAGCAAUAAUAAGUUUAGGAAGAAAGUGAAAGUUGCUACUGGAAAAUUCAAGGGCUCGAAAGAUGGUGUCGGGGUCGUAGAGUUGAAGGAAAAGAGUAGCAAAAAGGUACAAAGUAGAGGAAGUAAAAAUGGGGAUACAUUUUAUGUUGAUAUGAAUAAGAAAACAAGUAAAGAAGGUGUGGGAAGAAAAAGGAAUUUGAAAUUGAAAUAUGAAGACAAAGAAGGGGUGGGAAGCAAAAGGAACUGGAAAUCAAGAAAUGGAGACAAAGGGUGUGAAGCUGUGAUUGAGG